rnacentral:rRNA from 1 species
AUUGAACGCUGGCGGCAGGCUUAACACAUGCAAGUCGAGCGGAGAUGAGGUGCUUGCACCUUAUCUUAGCGGCGGACGGGUGAGUAAUGCUUAGGAAUCUGCCUAUUAGUGGGGGACAACAUUCCGAAAGGAAUGCUAAUACCGCAUACGUCCUACGGGAGAAAGCAGGGGAUCUUCGGACCUUGCGCUACUAGAUGACCCUAAGUCGGAUUAGCUAGUUGGUGGGGUAAAGGCCUACCAAGGCGACGAUCUGUAGCGGGUCUGAGAGGAUGAUCCGCCACACUGGGACUGAGACACGGCCCAGACUCCUACGGGAGGCAGCAGUGGGGAAUAUUGGACAAUGGGGGGAACCCUGAUCCAGCCAUGCCGCGUGUGUGAAGAAGGCCUUAUGGUUGUAAAGCACUUUAAGCGAGGAGGAGGCUACUGAGACUAAUACUCUUGGAUAGUGGACGUUACUCGCAGAAUAAGCACCGGCUAACUCUGUGCCAGCAGCCGCCGUAAGAC